UACUUAUAAGAGGCUUCCGGUUUUAAACAAGAUGGUUGCGCCCUUGGGUGAAUACCGAAAGUCCUAGACAAUGAGCUGCGCUGGAAUUUUCGAUGAUCAAUUGGAAGGUUGGAGAGGUGAACUUCUAUCGUGUAUACAAAAGAAGGCUGGCAGAAAAAAUAGCUCAGGAAAGCUUAGCACCUGAAGAGUCUCACCGAGUUUCUGACUAGACCCC